rnacentral:lncRNA from 1 species
UUGAAUUUAUUACUUGUGUUCGGUGUAGGGGAGCAUGUGGAUGUAUACAAUGGAUGGAUUGUAACUUGGGGAUGUGGAUGCUACCGUGUACACAUAUCCAAAGAAUGCUAAUUCAGGAUUGUGGAUAUAGAAACUAAACGGGUGUCCACAUAGUGAUUUCAUAACCGUUCUGUUAAUAUAUUACAUAGCAUGUAGAUUGAGUGGAUGAGGAGAUGCAGGCGCAGUGUGAUUGUCCAUAAGGAAGGUGUGGACAACAUCUGUGUUGAUAGGUCUGUGCGGAUAAGUCUGUGAGGACAUCGAUCUAUUUUCAGGUUCCCGAGAAACAAAUCAUCUAUGAUGAAACCAUAAACAACCCAACCAUCCUCGAUACUUCCAUCCAUGAUGCAUCUGUCCACAAAGCUCUCAUCCACGAUGCUUCCAUCCAUAAUAAAUCCAUCGACGCUGAACUUAUUUGAUGCUGAACUAGGAAAAUGGGGAUCCUCUUGGUCGUCCCCUAAAUAAAAAAUAAUUAGAUGAGCGAAGAUAUAUCAAGAACAGAUUACUCCAACCAAAAAUCAAAAAUUUUAAAUUAAAAACAUAUCUUAAAACCAAAUUAUAAAAGCCUUAGCAAGAACAACAAAUAGCUCCAACAAAAAAAAUACAGCAAGAAUAACAGAUCUUAAAACUCAAAUCAUGCAAGUAAACAAUGACGGUUCUAAUUAAAACGAGUUUUUUUAAAAUAAUGAUGUAGCAAGAACAUAUCUUUUAAAAAAAACUGGAAAACUACCUUGUGUGUCAGAAUCUGUCUUGUUUCUUAAAGGGAUCCCGUCUGUGUGCAACAGGGUGUUCGACGGAGAAACUAAUUAGGGUCUCAGAAACCACAGUAGCUGAUGUAUUGAAGAGAGAUAAUUAGAUGAGCGACCAUCGAUCCCCGGUUCAAUUCAAUCGAAGCAGAAAGCGGAAUCCACGAUGGGAGGAGGUGAAAACGAUGGCGACAACGGAGAUGACAUGACGACGGAGGAGAUAUGACUGUGAGGAAGCGAGUCGUGAUGGUUGAGCAGGUUGAAGACGAUGACAGCGAGAAUGCAGAGCAAGCCAUGGCGCGACAAUGAACGGAGGUCGUUGGCUGAGACCGGUCGAUGGAUAAAAAGUAUGGAUACAGAUUGGAUUAGAGUCGAGGUUAACGCCCGAGAUAAUGAAAGGAAUCAUGAAACUGGGGUUUUUUUAGAUGAAAUUGGGGGUUUUUGAGACUCUAGGGUUUUCCCGUCUUCUGAGGAAAAAUGAGAAAUUUUCUAUUUUUUAAACGACACUAAGGCUUCUGUGCUUUACCAAUUGGAAAAUGCAAGGAAAAGAUGAUUUAUUUACGAUAUGGUUAGUUUAGGGACAUUAGAGUUUUUUUGCAUGAAAAUGUGUGCCUCUAGCACUAAGUGGCAUGGAGUGUAAUAUGAAUAACUGAAAGUCUGUCCCCAAUAACUAAAGAGAAUAAAACAAAUAUAUUUUACUGUCUCAAUUCACAAGUUAAAGGGCAUUUCUGUCCAAAACUCAUCUCGGGAAUUGAAAAUGUGUGGCUCCAGUAGGAUGUGUCUUAUGAUGUCAAAAAGAUAGAAAUGUGUCCUAAUGGGUAACACACUCUUAAGUUUACAUGUUUGCUAAUUUUUUUUAUAUAUGUGAAUUAAGAAGUAGAGAAUGUGUAUAGAACAUUUGGAGAAGAAAAAAAUGCACAUUGUGUUGUGUUAUUUUAUUUGAAAGACAUAUGCAGUAGUGGAUUGUGUGGACAGGUUGUUUAUUCAAACAUUAGGAAUUGCAAUUAUAAUCUAUAUGUCAUUAAAAAUUGCAUUAUUGAAAGUUUGGGUUUAACUCAUGAGGUCGUUUAUGAAAAUUAUAAAAUUUGUGUCUGGAUUAAAAAAAUCAGAAAAUUAGUGACCAUUAUGCAAUAACAAAGGAGGUUUAGAGUGCAAAAUUGAAAGUUAUGGAUUGACUCAAGACAAUUUGUUUGCAAUAUUUAAAAUUUUGAGACACAAAUUAAAAUAAUUAGGCGCUCAGGGACAUGUUGUACAAAUAUGAAAAAAAUCUCCACUGAAGAAGUGGAGUCGUAGAUCUCUUAUCUCCGAUGAGAGAAGACAUCACACAAAGGAGAAAAUGAGGAGUAGCUGAGAGCGGCGACAGUGGUGGUGGUCUUACCGGUACUUUUUCGAUUAGGUGGUAGUGCAAGAGAAUCCGUAGGAAAUAAAAAAAGAGACAAUGGAGUAAAAGGAUCUGUGUUGGUUUGAUGGAGCAGGAGGUUCAUAUGAACAAAGGAAUAAAAAGAAGAAGAGAAAGAAACAGAAGAUUAAAGGGUUCACCUAUCUAGGAGUGUGAUUUCAGUUUUUCAACAAGACGAAGAAAAGAGAUGGUCACGAUUAGGAUUAGAUAUUGAGGAAAGUGAUUUCAUAAAUCAAAAGUGAAGAUAUGAGAGAGAUAAUAGAGUGUUUUGUAUAUUUUUAAUUGUUUUUUUCUGGUUACGAGGACAGUUAUGUUUGGUAAGAGAAAGUUAAAAAUGUGUAGUUGUGACUUAGUUGAAGGUAGAAAAGACAAAUUACAUAGAUAAAUUGUGUGUCAUGUAAGAAGUGUCUCUCUGUAUAAUUCCAAAGUGAGACAGAGUAAAUUUUUCUAAACUCAAACAAAGAUGAAAGAAAAGUAAUUGAACGAUGGACAAUUGUUAGAUUCGAU